UAAACCUCCUGACAACCAACUGUGGCCCUUUCCAGAAUCCUUGCCUCCCGAGAGCUCAAGUAGGUCAAGCCUUUUCUCAGAAAGCCGUCUUUCUACAAUGCUGUAUGGAUCCCAUCACAUCCCACUUCAAAGCUGGCAGCGGCCCUUGUCUUUAGAGGUUCUUUUGGAUACUGGGGUGACAGAUGACCAGGGUGCUGGAAAAGUUCGUGGAUCAGCCCUCAGUGGGACAUGGCAGAGGCAGGUUAUUGAUUGGCCAUGUGUGUCUUGUCAGCUGUCCAGGGUCCUGGAUGUCUGCUGAGGGUCCAGGCACUGGGAUAUUGAUCUUGAGCAGUACUCCUGCCCCGUGGAGGCCCAUCACCCCCGUCGUAAAGCUGCUGUGGAUUUCCUUUUGCAAACGGCAUUGCCAGGUGGUUUUAGGAGACGCGCUCUGCAGAUGUCGGGGUGAGAGAAGAGCACUAACAUGGGUAAGUUCAAGGUUCCGGCCACUCCGACCCCCAGGCAGCCCAGUUCGGUUUCUAACUCCCAUGAGGACAUGCCGGAAGAUCCCGGGAAGACAAACCCUCUCUGUACGACUCUUGUGACUCACAAUAUUUCCCUGUGAUGUGCCCCCCCAACCAAGAACAGCCAUUUUCACGUAUCAUUUUAUUUUUAAUUAGCAUACAAAGUGACAGGUUUCCUCAAAGCAUUUCAUACGUAUGUUAGGGUCUCCCCCACCUGGUCCUCUCUGCUUGUACCCUGUGCCCCACCCUUCUUCCUGACCACUUUCUCAUCACUUGUGAAUAAUAGUAAUUGUUUAAAUCAUUAUUUUUUAGUUUUUGAGAUUAUAAUAUAAUUGCAUCACGAUACCUUGAUACUCUUGACAACUUGACUUUUCCCAGUUUUCUAUCUUGUUUAUG